UGGAGUGACCGUUACUUUUUUCUUCAAGUCAACUUCAGUCCUCACUCACUCACCCAAGUGAUGCAGCAACUUUCAACAGAGGAGCUUCUGACGUGUGAGAGAAAACACAUUUGUAGGAUGGAAUAAUCUUUGUGGAAGAGGAGGCACAGCUAAGGUUUAGUUUAAAUGGGUCCCUCUAAUGCAGAAUAAGUGCUAACAGUGAAGUACCUUUCCAGAAGGAUUUAACAGCUAUGUGACAGUAUUAAUGGUAGUGCCUUCUGAGAAGCAUCAAAAAGCUCUCUACCCACCACGAAAUAAGCGAAUUGAGAAGAAGGAGCGGUUUCUUUUGGACAUUGAAAAUGCUAUUACGCAAGGAAGUUUGAACUUAUCAAAAGCAAAAAUGAGCCAACCACCCCAGGACUCCCUUGAGGCUCUCCUUAAUGAAAUGAUGUAACCAUAUCACAUAUUUGUUUGUUUACUGUUUUUCCAUUAAUAUAUUUUAAUUUGUAAUACAUAUUGCAUUUUAGAAUAGAAGUCCCAUGAGUUUCUCCUUGUUUAGAUGAGUAAUUUGUCAUACAGUAUAGGCUAAGUUAAUCGAUGUUCUUACAGCAUUUCCAUUGGAAUUUGCAGCAUUUUUAGGCAUAUCUCCCACCUCCUCAUCCUCAUGCCAGGUAUGUGCGACCUGCAUAGCCACUGUCACCCAGUAUCCACCUAUCUCCCCUCCCUCCAGUAGUGCACAGAUGGCUGUUGUCAAAAAUCCAUCUUGUCAGUAGCCUACCACUCGGUACCAGGGGUUUAGUGAUAAAAUAAAAAUAAACUAUGAAUUCCAUGAUCAAGGUGUGUGCCGUGACAUGGAAUUAAGAGUUUAAAAAAGACAUUCAGGGCCUGUUUGAUGAUGGUUCAAUGGUAUUAAAUGUCUCAGUAAGAGUUGAUAAGUGUACUGUUGUGAAGGUGGAUAAUGCAGUGUGAUUUCGGAAUUGUAAAACUUCCAUUUGGUCCAUAAACUAUCAGGAGGUGGAUAAACUCUAUUUCUGUCAGUUCAGAGGUGGAUAAACUGCGUUUAAUUGCGUUUAGCCUCCACUACAUCCCUGGUACCACUGAAAACUUCUAACUUAAACCUCCUCCAGGGGUGGUUUAAAUUAAUCUGCUAGUCCAGCUUUAUCCUAGGUUUAAAAUUACUGGUGCAACAGACUUGCAUUUAAUCUAGCUUUAAGUGGAAAAUUAAUCUGGGAUUAACUGGGGUUUAAAUUUAACCAGAGUUUAAUUUAAACUCAAUUUAAACUAGGUUUAAGGUUGGUGCAACAUAAUUAGUCAUUAACCCAUGAUUUAAUCCAGUUUAAAAGUUAAACCACGUUGGU